GAUGAACGCUGGCGGCGUGCCUAAUACAUGCAAGUCGAGCGAACAGACGAGGAACUUGCUCCUCUUACGUUAGCGGCGGACAGGUGAGUAUAAUGUAGAUAACCGACCUAUAAGACUGGGAUAAAUUCGGGAAACCGGAGCUAAUACCGGAUAAUAUAUUGAACCGCAUGGUUCAAUAGUGAAAGACGGUUUUGCUGUCACUUAUAGAUGGAUCCGUGCCGGAUUAGCUAGUUGGUAAGGUAACGGCUUACCAAGGCAACGAUGCGUAGCCGACCUGAGAGGGUGAUCGGCCACACUGGAACUGAGACACGGUCCAGACUCCUACGGGAGGCAGCAGUAGGGAAUCUUCCGCAAUGGGCGAAAGCCUGACGGAGCAACGCCGCGUGUGUGAUGAAGGUCUUCGGAUCGUAAAGCUCUGUUAUUAGGGAAGAACAAAUGCGUAAGUAACUAUGCACGUCUUGACGGUACCUAAUCAGAAAGCCACGGCUAACUACGUG
rnacentral:rRNA from 1 species